UGCUUUACACAUGCAAGUCGAACGGCAGCGCGAGAAAGCUUGCUUUCUUGGCGGCGAGUGGCGAACGGGUGAGUAAUACAUCGGAACGUGCCCGAGAGUGGGGGAUAACGCAGCGAAAGCUGCGCUAAUACCGCAUACGAUCUACGGAUGAAAGCAGGGGACCGCAAGGCCUUGCGCUCAUGGAGCGGCCGAUGGCAGAUUAGGUAGUUGGUGGGAUAAAAGCUUACCAAGCCGACGAUCUGUAGCUGGUCUGAGAGGACGACCAGCCACACUGGGACUGAGACACGGCCCAGACUCCUACGGGAGGCAGCAGUGGGGAAUUUUGGACAAUGGGGGAAACCCUGAUCCAGCCAUCCCGCGUGUGCGAUGAAGGCCUUCGGGUUGUAAAGCAC
rnacentral:rRNA from 1 species